rnacentral:rRNA from 1 species
ACCGGCGCACGGGUGCGUAACACGUAUGCAAUCUGCCUUGUACUGGAGCAUAGCCCUCGGAAACGAAGAUUAAUACUCCAUACAGUCUUACUAGCGCAUGCUAGUAAGAUGAAAGCUCCGGCGGUACAAGAUGAGCAUGCAUCCCAUUAGCUUGUUGGUGAGAUAACAGCUCACCAAGGCUACGAUGGGUAGGGGUUCUGAGAGGAAAAUCCCCCACACUGGCACUGAGAUACGGGCCAGACUCCUACGGGAGGCAGCAGUAGGGAAUAUUGGUCAAUGGGCGCAAGCCUGAACCAGCCAUGCCGCGUGCAGGAUGAAGGCCUUCAGGGUUGUAAACUGCUUUUGUAUGGGAAUAAAAAAGUCCUUGCGAGGACUCUUGAAGGUACCAUAAGAAUAAGCACCGGCUAACUCCGUGCCAGCAGCCGCGGUAAUACGGAGGGUGCAAGCGU